rnacentral:lncRNA from 1 species
CACAGAUGAUAAAAAUUUUAAUUAGCAUGGAAAAAAAUUACCAUAAGCAAAGCCAAAAGGCAGGUGACAAAUUAGGGAAAAUUUUACUAUUAAAUUCCUAAGGAAGGGCCAAUAUUCCAAGCAUAGAUUCUCUAAAAAUUAAGAAAAAUAUCUGAUUUCAAACUAUACAAAGCUAUAGUAAUCAAACACACUGAUAUUGGCAUAAAAAUAAACACAUAGAUCAAUGGAACAGAAAAUAGAGCCCAGAAAUAAAACAUGAAUAUAUGGCCAAUUAAUUUACAACAAAGGAGCUAAGAAUAUAUAAGUGGGAAAGGGCAGUAUCUUCAAUACAUGGUGCUGGGAAAACUGGACAUGUAAAAGGAUAAAACUGGACCACUGUUUUAUACCAUACACAGAAAGUAAAUUUAAAAUGGAUUAAAGACUUGGAACAUAAGAUUUGUAACUUUAGAACUCCUAGAAGAAAACAUAUGUGCUAAGCUCCUUGACAUAUAACUUGAUAAUGAUCAAAAGCAACAAAAGAAAACAUAAACAAGUGGAAAUACAUUAAACUACAAAGCUUCUGCACAGCAAAGGAAACCACCAAGAAAAUGAAAGGCAGCCUACAGCAUGGGAGAAAAUAUUUGCAAAUCGUAUUAUCUGAUAAGGAGUUAAAACUCCCAAAUAUAAAGAACUCAUACAACUCAAUAGUAAAACAGCAAACAAUCUGAUUUUAAAAAUAAGUAGAGGAGCUGAGCAGAUGUUUUUCCAGUGAAGACAUGCAAAUGGCUAACAUUUAGCUGAAAAAGGUGUUUGACAUCACUAUAAGGAAGAUGCAAAUCAAAACCACAAUGAGAUAUUGUAUCACACUAUUGGAAAGGCUAUUAACAAAAAGAUUGGAAAUAACAGGUGUGGUCAGGGUGUAGCAAAAAGGGAACCCUGGUGCACUGUUGAUGGGAAUGUAAAUUUGUGGGGCCACUAUGGAAAACAGUAUGGAGUUUCCUCAAAAAUCAUUUUUGGGUAUUAAUCCAAAGAAAAUGAAAACACUAGCUUGAGAAGACAUAUGAUAUGCAUCCCCAUGUUUAUAGCAGCGUUAUUUACAAUAGCCAAAGUAUGGAAACCACCUAAGUGAUAAAUGGAUAAAUAAAGUGUGACACACGCAUAUAGUCAUUAUUAUUCAGCCAUAAAAAAAUAAUGAAAAUUGUCAUUUGGAACAUGUGUGGACCUAGAGGGCAGUAUGCUAAAUGAAAUAAGUCAGACAUAGAAAGACAAGUACAACAUGAUCUCACUUAUACAAAGAAUCUAAAAUAAAUAAAUAGUUAAACCAAGUUCAUAGAUACAGAGAACAGAUCAGUGAUUGCCAGGAGAGGGUGAGGGAUGGCCAAAAUGAGUAAAAGGGAUCCAAAGGCAUAAACUUCCAGUUAUAAAAUAAUUAGGUCAGGGGAUGUACUGUACAGUAUGGUGACUAUAGUUAAUUACACUGUAUUGCAUAUUUGAGAGUUGCUAGGAGAACACAUCUUAAAAGUUCUAAUUGUAAGAAAAAUAGUUUUGUAACUAUGUGUGGUGACAGAUGUUAACUAGACUCAUUGGGGUGAUCAUUUCACAAUAUUUCACAAUACACACAAAUAUCAAAUCAAUACAUUGGACACCUGAAACUAAUAUAAUUUAUAUGUCAUUUAUACUUUAAUAAAAUAAUUUAAAUUUAAAUUUUUUAAUUAAAUAAAAUAAAACUAAGAAAAAUAAAGACAGAACUAAUGGAAAAAUGGAAAAAAAUAUAUGAAAAGCAAAUGGGGGAAAAUGUAAUUGAAAGUGAUUUCAGUCCUAGUAAGAGAAAUCCAAAAUAAUAACUUUGAGAUACCCCUAUUUACCUGUUAGAUUAGCAAGAAUUCAAAAACCUGACAGUGUAUACUGUUAGCAUGGCUCAAAGAAGACAGUCUCACUCAAUAUUGAGGAAAAUGUGAAAUGAUACAAACCCUGUGGAGAGAAAUUUGACAAUUUAUAAUUGCAACUGCAUUUAUCUUUUAUCUAAGAAUCCCAAAGACUCACUGGUAAAAAUACAUAUGAUUUGUAAUAACAAAAGACUGGAAACAAUCCACAUGUCUAAUGGCAGGGGACUGAGUAAUGCAUUACGGCAUAUGCACAAACAAUGGUACUGGGAAGUUAUAAAAAUAAGAAAAAAAUUGAUACAGUGAAAUAGAAUUAUUUCUUGCUGUAUUUUAAGUGAAAUAAGGAAGACACAAAGAAGAAUGUAUAAUGUGCUACCUUAGGAACAAGAAAGGAACACUCCUGAACUUAUAUUACAAAGCCGGCAUUACUCCAAUGCCAAAGCGAAAAGGACACUGCAAGAAAAGGAAACUGUAAGGCCAAUAACCCUGAUGAAUAUAGAUGCAAAAAUUCUCAACAAAAUAUUAGCAAAUUGAAAUCAAAAGCACAUGCAAAGGAUCAUGCACCAUGACCAAGUAGGGUUAAUCUCUGGGAUACAAGGAUGCUUCAACAACUGCAAAUGACAGGAUCAAACUGGAGGGCAUUAUUCUAAGUGAAAAAAGCCUGACAGAGAAAGAAAAAAAAACUGAAUGGUAUUGCUUUUUUGUGGAACCUGAAAAAAAAAAAAAAACUGAACACAUAGAAACAGAGAAUAGAAUAGUGAUUAUCAGUUAUAGGAUGAAUGAAGACUGAGUAGCUAAUAUAUAACGUGGUGACAUACGUCCUAUAACUGAAAGCCCCCACCAGAAGGAAAUACCGUAUUUCCCACAUCAUACUUCCAUAUUUGCCAGUAAAUUUUUUGUUAAAAAUGGGAGCUGAGAUGUUAUUUGGUUAAUUCAAAGAAAAUAAAAUGCCCUCCCCAAAUGGGAAGAUUUCUCCUCAAUAGAGUUUGGAAAGCAUUCUCUUAUUCAUAAAAACAUUUCUUGAAAUAGAAAAUAUUCACUUAUUUAAAUUUGAAGUGAAUCACCCAUAGGGAGGAAAAACUUACUAUUUUUUUUCAAUAACUUUCUACAACAUGAAUACAACAAUAUUCUGCCUUAAUUUAAAACUGGCACAAAUUCUUAAAGUAUAUCAUGAUUUCUUUCCAGCUUUGCCUCCAUGGAAACAGAAAUAUAGACUCUACACCAACCUGUCCCUUAUUUGCUGCAGAGCUUAUCAUACUUGCAUAAUAAAUGUGAAAG